rnacentral:rRNA from 1 species
GACGAACGCUGGCGGCGUGCUUAACACAUGCAAGUCGAACGGAAAGGCCCUGCUUUUGUGGGGUGCUCGAGUGGCGAACGGGUGAGUAACACGUGUGUAACCUGCCCUUGUCUUUGGGAUAACUUCAGGAAACUGGGGCUAAUACCGGAUAGGAGCUCCUGCUGCAUGGUGGGCGUUGGAAAGUUUCGGCGGUUGGGGAUGGACUCGCGGCUUAUCAGCUUGUUGGUGGGGUAGUGGCUUACCAAGGCUUUGACGGGUAGCCGGCCUGAGAGGGUGACCGGCCACAAUGGGACUGAGAUACGGCCCAGACGCCUACGGGGGGCAGCAGUGGGGAAUAUUGCACAAUGGGCGGAAGCCUGAUGCAGCAACGCCGCGUGCGGGAUGACGGCCUUCGGGUUGUAAACCGCUUUCGCCUGUGACGAAGCGUGAGUGACGGUAAUGGGUAAAGAAGCACCGGCUAACUACGUG